rnacentral:lncRNA from 1 species
GAAGUUUAUUAGGCAAAAUUUUGAGUCUGUGAAAAUGAUUUUUAUGUGAAUCUAGGGUAAGUCUAGUGGCUGUGUUAGACUUUGCUUCUACAGGAAACUUUUGGCAUGCAAAUGAUGGCUUUGCUUACACUAUAAACAAAGCUUGUUAGAUUUUCUUAAAAAAAAUUUAACCAUUGUUUUUUUCUUGUCCAAAAUUAUAUUUCAUACCUUAUGUUCUGGUGAUGGUUGUUUUGAGUUUUCUUUGUUGUGAUGAUAAAGAAUACCGACAUUGUCGCAAUUGUGCUGUGAAGUGUACGAGUUUCUGUGAUAGAACACGAGAAAAUUCAAAUGGAAAUAAGUGA